rnacentral:lncRNA from 1 species
UUAUCUUUGAAGCUGAAAUGGUUAAGGUCUCUAUAACCAACAUCGUCUCCGCUUAAAUAUCUGCACUUCUUUGUCUACGAUCAAUCAACCUUAUGAAUAAAAAGAUGUUUAAUUUGAUGAGUUUGUAAUAAGAAAACGUUAAUGUUUGUGAAUUGUGAAGUUAUUAUUUCUGUUCUUCUGAGUUUUUUUAUUUCAAUGAAAAUAAAACUCUUACCGGUUUAAAUUGUUUGAAAUAUGUUGGGGAGUAUGGAGUGUUAGUUAUAUGAAUAAAUUCGACUUAUUUGGAGUCAGAAAGAAACUAAUAAUUUAAUUUACAUAAUUUCAUUUUUGUAACCGAAUUCAAACAGAAGCCAAAAGAAGAUAAGAAUUGAACAAAAAUUUAAAAGAUACUAAAUAUGUGAAAAUCGAAAUCGUAUGAUGCUGACUAGUGAUGAAGAUGGCCAAGAUCGGUCAUGUUGAAUGCGGAAUGGCCAAAAAAACACACAAUUUGCGACUCCCAUAUAAGUUGCAAAACGGUUUAUUUAGGACUACUUGAAGACUACUAAUACAAUGGUUUCAAAAUAGUCGCUAAUGUACGACCAUUUUCUGACCCCUAAUUUUUUUCAUAUAGAAGCGACUAAUUUGGGAUAGAAAAUUGAUGUCGUAUAUUUACAACUGAAAAGCAACGAAGUUUACUUAGUGACAUUUUUAUGACGAUAUUUGCUAAUCCUAAAUUUGAGACGAAUUUGGGACUAAUUCAAGAGUCCGAGUUACGUGACCCGUGAUGUAGCAUUUCUAUCAAUUAAUUAUCGAACCACAAUUUGCAAUUAAUCAACUCACCAAGAAUACACAUAAUUGCUUAAUCUAAGCUAAUAAGGUGACUUUGAGUGUUCCUAAUCUUAGUAACAAUGCAUUAUCAAGCAAAAAAUGCAAAACAAGAUAAAAGAAAGCAAGAAACAAAAGACUAACAAGUUUCGAAAGUAAACAAAGCGGGAAAUUAACAAAUUACUUAGUUAUCACUAAAGACGAAUUCUCGGGUUAAGGUAAUCGAUUAGAAAUGAUAAAUAGAUGGAUUCUAGAGCAACAAACAACUUCUAACAAGCAAUGAUCCUUAGGCCAUAGAACACUAAACAAGACUAAUACAUUUCCAUGAUAUUAAUCCUUUUACUAAUCAAUCAAUCAUCAACAAUUUCCAAAGGCAAUCAAAUGAUCAAUAAGCAUAAAUAACAAGUCUAUCUAGCCACUAAUAACCCUAAUCAACAAUUUCCAAAGGUAAGGUAUGAAAAGCACUUAAAGAUUUUGGUUCGGGAAUUUCAUCGAACACCUUCCGGGCAUGAAAUUCCUAGUGUCUAAAUCAACAUGAUCAAAGUUGAUCUAGCCUUAAAAGCAAUCAAUAAGUAAGAAUCUUAAGUAAUCUAGCCCUAAAAUCCAUAACCCAACAUCUAAACCAUCCUAAUCUACCCUAACCAAAGAACUCUAGGAGACUACUCACUCAUGAUCAUGAUCAUACAAAGGAAUUGGUUUGAUCUUUGUAAAGCCAUAAUCAUUAGAGAAUAGAUGAGAAAUUUAAAAGAAAUACUUGAUAUAGAAACUUAAGAACUCAACAUUCAUACAAAAACCUAAGAUAAAGAACCUUCAAGAGAAGUUUUGAUCCCUAAACAAAAGCUCUUUUUUCUCUAAAACUAGGUUAAGAGUAUUUCUAGUAACAGGAAAUAAACCGGAUCAACCUAGAACAAACCGGGUUUUGACCCGGUUAAGGAAGGCAAUCGACCAAGCAAUAGAUCACUUGGUAGAUUCAAUAUCGUCCACAACAUUAAUCCUUGACCAGUAGACCACGCAAUCGACCACUUUGGUAGAUUCAUAUUCCUCCGUAGCUCUGGUCCGGACCAAUCGACCACCCAAUCGACCAGUUUGGUAGAUUCGUAUUCCUCCGUAGCUCUGGUCCUGACCAAUCGACCACGCAAUCGACCAGUUUGGUAGAUUGUCCUACUAGCUUCUCCUCUUUGGCCACUUUGCAUUCUUGUAGCUCAUUUGUUUGCUCCAUUUGCUCCAUUUUACUUCCAAAACUUUAAACUCCACUCAUGUACCUAAGAAAACCAAAUGCAAAUGCAAAUGCAAUACUAUAUGCCAAAAUAUGAAUGCAAAGCAACAAAAACUAAGAGAAAAAGAGGUUUUAAAACACCCAAAAACACUAGAUAUCAACUCCCCCAAACUUAUUUCUUGCUAGUCCUCAAGCAAGAACUAAGAGAUAGAAAAGAAAGAGGUUUGAAGGUGGGGAUUCAUAGCCACAAAAUAUCAAACGAAGGAUUCAACUCAAAGUCCUUAAAGAUAGUUCAAAUUUGCUUGAAUCAAUCAUCAUACUCUUUCGUACUUCUCCAUACUCUUCUUAGUGCAUAGCUCAAUUUCAAAUCUCCAACUAUUAGCAAAGACUCACAAUCAAGUUGAAACAUCUCUUUAACAUUCAUUUAAGUGUUUGGCGCGGUCUCGCAAAUGGAAGAUAAAUCAUUCUCAAUCGGUCUUGGUGAAGGCUUUUGGAGGUGGUUUCAAAAGAUUUACAUUUUGGUGGGUUUCUCUAAAAAAAAUAGUAAUGCUAGACAAUCAUGAAAUCCAUCUAAGACCAAGAACAAUUUAUGCAUACAAAGUCUAGCUCUUGUUGUUCUACCCGUCUUAGAUGUAAACUCCUAUUUCUACCCUUCUUGCAAACUCUUUUCUUCUUCUUUUCAACCCCAAUCAAUAGACACUUUGGUCUUUUUGAACCACAAUCCUCAAGAUCAAUCCUUUCUUGCUAGUCACCUAGGGAAGACUUCUUCUUUUGACACUUUGUUCUUUUCUAUUUCUUUUCUAAGUUUAUCUUUGUUCCCAAAUACUUAUAGCUUUGCAAGUUUCUUUUCUUUGGGGAACUAGCUUGAUAUUAAACUUUCUCUUUACACUUAGAGAUUUAGAGCUUUCUUAUUUAUAACUUAUUCCCUAGAGACUCCUAUAAAACCAUUGAUCACACAUUUCUUUUCAUUCAUUCUUUUUUCUUUUCUUUUUUCCAAACCCAAUCCCAAGUAUUCAAUCUAACCACUUAAAUCUUUCAUUCCCAACCUAGUAGCUAGUCCAAAGAUGUUCCAAAAGCUAGCUAAAAACAAGAGCUAAAACCUUGUCGUUCUCAAUACUUUGAAGAUUUCAAAAUCUAUAGCAUUUUCAUACAAGAGGCCUCACUCACAAAUAGUACAUAGGCUUGAAAGAAAGGUUUUAAGGUUAAGGGUAGGGAAAACCAUUUUAAAGGUGAGAAUGGCCAUUCGGGUUAACAAAAGAUUGGCUAAACGAAUAAGAUAACCCGAAUGAGUCUGUUAGACUACCAUGAGAAUACAUUUAGGAUCCAUAAGCGAGAAAUCAAUAUCAAAUUAAGUCCAAAUUCAUAGAGAUAUUUCAAAAGUCAUGUAAGCUUCACACAAGUAGAAAUUGCUUUCGAGAAACGCAAAAGUCUAAGCAUGGGUUUUCCAUUUUUUCCAAGAUGAUCAAGCAACGAUUAACUGUGAUCAAGGGCUUUAAGCUCAAUCCUAAGCUUGAAUUUCUACAAGGUAAUUAAAUCAUUAUCCCCUAUGCAAAUGCAAAUGUACACUAGAUGCUACUAGACUCAAUCCUAAAAGAGAAAAUUAAUAUGCAAACCUACAUGAUUUUUUUUGGAUUUUUCAAAAUUUUCAGAUUUUUUUUUUAUUUUUCUCAAAACAUAGUUAUUGACAAUGCAAGACUCAAAGAAAGAAAAUCAAAACAUAACACAACAUUAGAUGGUUAGUCUCUCCCCCAAACUUAUUUCACACCGUCUCGGUGUAAAGAUAAUUCCGGAAAAAAGACUAACGAAAAACAAAGAGAAAAUGAAAGAAAAUAGUAUAUACAAAGGAUAGAUAGGACCAUACCUUGGCCCUAGUUGUGAACCUUAGGGAGUGAAGUGAUAGGAGGAGUUGUGAAACUCCUUGUAGAGCCCUUGAAUGCAAGUGUGAGGACCUCUUUCAUCAAUUCUUCAACACUUUUUGAACCUUUUUCUUUGAACUCCGGUGUGAGAAUCGCUUUAACCGAUGAAAAAGGGUUGGAUCGACCCUUGCACUUGACUCUAUACUCUAAAAUUCCAUCAUUAUACCUCAAAAGUGUUAGAGUCAUAGAAGAGGUAGGAUUUGGUGAAUUGUCAAGGGUGGGAGGGUGGGUUCUUUUCAUCAUCCUCUUGUUCUUCUCAAGAACCAUCUUAGCUUUACCCAACUCCUUCUUUUUAGUACUUUCUUCUUGCGCAUCAAACAAAAAGUGUAGACAUUCACCAUCCAAGAUUUUCUCAUCAACCGUGAAAUCCUCUCUAUUCUUCGCAUUCACAACUUUGAUCUCAAGUUGAUCCUUCAAACUUUUAGGCUCUUUCUUUGUUUUCACUUCUUCAUUAGUGAUUGUUCCACAAAACUUUGUAGAGAAAGGCUUGAUUGGAUAUGAGACAUUACCAUUCACGUGGAGAAGAGUAACUCUCUUGUUUGGGAAGUCGAUGUUGGCUCCCACGGUGUUGAGAAAUGGAGUUCCUAGAAUGAGAGGAACCUUGUGGGUGUCUUUCAUCUCCACUAUCAUGAAAUCCGUUGGGACUAUGCAAUCACCAACUUUGAGUGGAUAGUCUUCAAUCAAACCAAGAGGAGUUGUUGAAGAAGCAUCUCCAAACAUGAUGGAGGAGGUGUGGUGGUUCAUAUCUUUAACCCCUAGACUCUUUACCAUCUCAAGUGACAUCACAUUCACGCUUGCACCCGAAUCACAUAAGGCAUCAUCAAGUUGUAAAUCACCAAGUGAGCAAGGUAUGGUGAAUUUACCCGGAUCUUCAAGCUUGAUAAUAGAUUUUGGUUCCGUUUGUGGUGUGAUUGGUGAAUCAAAGGCUCUCAUGAUCUCUUCCACUUUCUCUCGAUUUUCUAGAAUGGCUUGAAUGAACUUAAAGUGAAGAGGAAUUUGAGACAAGUUUUCCACACAAGGCAAAGGCGCUCCAACUCUACUCAUGUUGGCUUUAAAACUUGAGAAAACUUUCUUUUUAGCUUUGGUAAGAACUCGCCCGGGAAACGGAAGUAGAGGCUCAUAAGGAAGAGGCUCAACUCUUGAUGCCUCUUUCUUUUCAACACUCUUGGUUAUCAUAUCAUUCCCAUUCGUACUCUUCUUGGCCUUCUCAUCACUAGCAACCAUUAAGUUCUCAACAUUAGAACCAUAUAGAAGUUUAGAGAUCUCUUCUAUUGCCUUUUCAUUCUCAUCAAUUCUACCAUCCUCUCUUGAUUGUGUAUAGCUCAUAUUUUCAACCAUAUCAAAAUCGUUUAUGAAGAUAGCAUUGCAAAACUCCUUAUGAUUAGUUUCAGAUUUACCCUUUAAAGUUCCCAUUGGAUGCUUGGAAGUGGAUGAGGAUGGGCUAUAAACAUGGACAUUCAAACGCUCUAUUUUGGCAUUGAGCUCACCAUAAAUGUCAUCAACCUUGGUGUGCAUUCCUUUCAUUUGUGUGGCAAGAUCGAUUGCUCCUCUUCCUUGCCCUUCUAGAAUUUGUCUAAGAAGAGCGUUUGUAUCCGCUUGAGGUGGAGGAUUCGAUGAACUCCCUUGGUGUUGAUUGUGGUGGUAGGCUUGAGGUUUUGGUUGGAAGUUCCUUUGGGGUUGAGGUUGAUAGUUGGGUUGUUGUGUGAAACCGGGAGGCUUUAAGGGUGGGUAGCUUUGAUCUUGUGGGUUCUCCACAUUAUUGCUCCUAUAUGAAAGGUUGGGAUGAUUCCUAUAGUUGAGGUUGAAUUUGUUGUAGCCUUGUCCAAUAGCAUAGUUGACCUCCUCUUGUCGCUCUACACAACCUUCCAUGUGUUCUUGAUACCCUUGGUAGACAUCACUCUCGGAUACAAAAUGGAUCGGUUUUUGAUUAGCAAGAAUCAUCUUAUCUAUCUUUUCAUUCAAAGCUUUGAUCUCUUUGCGGUGUAGAUUACUCAUCUCAUUACUUUCUCUUGGAGUGCGGUCAUAAUCUUCACCAUAAUUACCAUCACUUUGAGCUAGAUUCUCUACCAAAGACAAACCAUCAUCAAUAUCUUGGCCCAAGAAGUUUGCAUUGCUUGCCGUGUCCAACAACAUGCGAAAUUUAGGGAGAACUCCUCUAUACAAGGUACUUAGUAUAGACUCUUUAGAGAAACCAUGAUGAGGACAUUGCAUUUUGUAUCCUUUGAACCUUUCCCAAGCUUCACAAAAACUUUUAUUACUCCUUUGAGUGAAGCUAGAUAUCUCAUUUCUCAACCUUGCCGUUCUUGUUGUGGAGAAAAACUUUAAGAGGAAUGCUCUUUUGCAUUGGUCCAAGAGGUGAUGGAGCCUUGAGGUAGAUUCUUCUCCCAAAUACGAGCUCGGUCUCCAAGAGAAAAUGGGAAGAGUCUAAGUUUGAAUGCAUCUUCCGAGAUCCCAUUGAUUUUCACCGUGCUACACAACAUAUCAAAUUGGUCUAGAUGAUCCAAAGGGUCCUCCAUUGAUAAACAAUGAAACUUAGAGCUUUGAACCAUGUUGAUGAGGCUUGAUUUAAUCUCAAAGUUGUUGUUCUCAACCGGAGGAGCUUGAAUACCGUUUCUAUUUCCGCGGAUGUUUGGCUCAUCAAAGGCUCCAAUUGGUUGAUGAGCUCUUGGUUGAUGUUGUGGCAUAUGACCACCCCCAUUAGCUUGGCCAUUUCCAUUAUGGCCCCCAACUUCGGGUUCAUUCAUGACGCCUAACCGAGCAAGGUGUUCAAGUCGUUCUCUUUUUCUUCUUGCUCUAGCGUUUUCUCUUUCAAACCGGCGAAUGUCGUUAAUCUCUUCUACUAAGUUUGCUCGGCCGUAACUUCGUAGGUUCAUACACCUUUAAGACAAGAGCAAAGAUCAAGUAUAAAGGAUUAGUAACUAAAGUAAAAGGCUUAGUCUCAAGCAAAUAUGAAAUCCUAAUGGCUAAUAACUAUUGCAAACCGGCAACGGCGCCAAAUUGAUGUAGCAUUUCUAUCAAUUAAUUAUCGAACCACAAUUUGCAAUUAAUCAACUCACCAAGAAUACACACAAUUGCUUAAUCUAAGCUAAUAAGGUGACUUUGAGUGUUCCUAAUCUUAGUAACAAUGCAUUAUCAAGCAAACAAUGCAAAACAAGAUAAAAGAAAGCAAGAAACAAAAGACUAACAAGUUUCGAAAGUAAACAAAGCGGGAAAUUAACAAAUUACUUAGUGAUAACUAAAGACGAAUUCUCAGGUUAAGGUAAUCGAUUAGAAAUGAUAAAGAGAUGGAUUAUGGAGCAACAAACAACUUCUAACAAGCAAUGAUCCUUAGGCCAUGGAACACUAAACAAGACUAAUACAUUUCCAUGAUAUUAAUCCUUUUACUAAUCAAUCAAUCAUCAACAAUUUCCAAAGGCAAUCAAAUGAUCAAUAAGCAUAAAUAACAAGUCUAUCUAGCCACUAAUCACCCUAAUCAACAAUUUCCAAAGGUAAAGUAUGAAAAGCACUUAAAGAUUUUGGUUCGGGAAUUUCAUCGAACAUCUUCCGGGCAUCAAAUCAACAUGAUCAAGGUUGAUCUAGCCUUAAAAGCAACCAAUAAGUAAGAAUCUUAAGUAAUCUAGCCCUAAAAUCCAUAACCCAACAUCUAAACCAUCCUAAUCUACCCUAACCAAAGAACUCUAGGAGACUACUCACUCAUGAUCAUGAUCAUACAAAGGAAUUGGUUUGAUCUUUGUAAAGCCAUAAUCAUUAGAGAAUAGAUGAGAAAUUUAAAAGAAAUACUUGAUAUAGAAACUUAAGAACUCAACAUUCAUACAAAAACCUAAGAUAAAGAACCUUCAAGAGAAGUUUUGAUCCCUAAACAAAAGCUCUUUUUCUCUAAAACUAGGUUAAGAGUAUUUCUAGUAAUGAGAAAAUAAACCGGAUCAACCCGGAACAAACCGGGUUUUGACCCUGUUAAGGAAGGCAAUCGACCAAGCAAUAGAUCACUUGGUAGAUUCAAUAUCGUCCGCAACAUUAAUCCUUGACCAGUAGACCACGCAAUCGACCACUUUGGUAGAUUCAUAUUCUUCCGUAGCUCUGGUCCGGACCAAUCGACCACCCAAUCGACCAGUUUGGUAGAUUCGUAUUCCUCCGUAGCUCUGCUCCUGACCAAUCGACCAGUUUGGUAGAUUGUCCUACUAGCUUCUCCUCUUUGGCCACUUUGCAUUCUUGUAGCUCAUUUGUUUGCUCCAUUUGCUCCAUUUUACUUCCAAAACUUUAAACUCCACUCAUGUACCUAAGAAAACCAAAUGCAAAUGCAAUACUAUAUGCCAAAAUAUGAAUGCAAAGCAACAAAAACUAAGAGAAAAAGAGGUUUUAAAACACCCAAAAACACUAGAUAUCAACCCGUUACAGACUAGGAUGAUAGUGGAAAAAGUGUUUUGUGUGUUGAAAAAAUAAUAUUGGUCCCCAUAUAGUCGUACAUAAUGUUUUUUUUUAGUGGGAGUAGUCUCUUCAAUUGAGUUUUAGAGUUCUAAAUUGGUUUGAUGAUUUGAUUAUUAUUAAAAAUUAACUAUUUUUAGGAAUUCACGAACUGAAUUGAGCAAUAUAUUUUUAGCCAAUGAAAUUUAAUAUUAGAACACAUAUUGUUAGUUUAACAAAUUUGUUUGAUAAUGCGAAUUUGACUAAUAUUACAAAUGAAAGUUUAGUAAUUAAGUAGUCAAUUUUAAUGACUAAUUUCUUGAAAGAGGAGUAAUCUAAUAUUGUGUUCAUGUUCGAAAGCGGUGUUUGGUUGUUGAAUUUUUUAUUUCAUAGUUUCGUUAAUCAUCAAUCUUUGAAUUAUUUUGUGGUUUAAUGUGUUUUAUCAUAUAAUUUUAAUCGUUUAGUUUCUUUCAUAAUUUUAAUUUUAAGCAUAAAAACUAACAAACAUUUAAUUUGUCCGUUUAGGUAAAAACGACUCUCGCAAAUCUUUAGAAUAUCAUUGAUUUAUGUGAUCUACUCUGUAUGUACUAUUUUACAGUUAAGUCUAUAAGAUAAUAAUUACUCGAGCAAUCAACCGGAAUUAGGUCGCAUCAAAUGUAACAACACCAGAUACUACCUAAGACGUUUUGCUUAACAUUUAAAUCACAUUUUGAAUAUUACGCUGCUCACGUCUAAUCUGAUAGUUGACACAUUCCAAGUCAAAUAAAAGUUAUAAUAAUGAAUGUGCAUAAAUAUUCAUAAUUUUUCCACCGUGAAUCCACUUUCAGUAUUAUAUAGUAGUAACUAAACUCGUUUAAUAGAUAACUCGUGUCUCUAUUAAACAGGUCUUUCUAUUAUUCAUUUUUUUUUUUCUUAAUCACAUUUUCAAUCGAUUAGCUUUUUACUAAAAGUAGUUUUUAACAAUGUGCCAAAAGACGCUGUCGUACCCUAAAAUAAAAUUGAAUGAAAAUAAGAAAGAAGCUGAAACAGAUUAACUGUUAUCAACCAAUUAAUCUGUCACUCACUUUAGAAUUUCUUUAUUGUUUCUUAUUCAGUUUUUAACAUUGUCUCUAAAUUAAGGAAUUUUAAUUGUUUGUUUUUUUCAAAAAACAAAAUUAAAAAAAAUUGAAAUGUUAAAAAGAAAAAAAUAUCUCAAGAAAAACUUUUGAAUACUUUUGUAAUAGUUUUUUCUUAAGAUAAAAAAGAUAUAUAUUUCUCUAGGUCCCAGAGGGCAGAGGAACUCAAAACGAAUCUUGGUAUAUAUUUUUUUUUGUCGUACGAAUCUUGGUAUAUUUAUUGUAUGAAAUCAUUUUUUUUAAUAUUUUCUUGGUUAAAUAUUGAAACUCAUUUCUUGUUUCUCCUGGAAAAUUCCGUUGAUAGGACUGACAAGAGUCCUGAGAGAAGAGCGACCAUCGAGUAAGAUAGUGACAAUAACCAGCUUCUCCUUGAUUAAGGGCAAAUAUGUAAAGGGUAUAGAGAUCAACACAACACAGAGAAUUGCUUAUAAGUAUAUUCUUAUUGAUAACAAACUGUUUACAAAUGUUAUGUCGGAGAUUACUUGAUCUAUUCUACCCAAGAGAUCAAAACCGAGUAAGAAUAUCUAAGCCUAAUUCUCUUAUCUGUUUCUUAUCACUGUCACGUGAAGACUAAGAGAAUUACACACUCACCUUCAAGCUUUUGCAAUGCUCUGAAGAUUUCAAUCGUAUCGAAAUAUUCUAGAGUGCACGAAGCGCCUCACACUAAACCCUAGAGUACUUAUACUUACUCUCCAUAAUCUUAAACCUACGAUCUCCGAAAAUCUCGUUUUAAGGAAUCUUUUUUGUUUUCUUCAAGCUUAUUCCUUCCUAAAUCUUCGAGAUGAUAUCUUCCAUAUCUUCUUGAUAUUUCUUGUCUUUGACACCACGCCAAGUCAGCUUCCAUCUUUGGCUCUCCACAUCAUUCGCCUUAGCUUACCACGUUUGCUCUCGCAUCCAUGUCCGCAAAUCAAGCGUCUGAUGAAACUCGAUGCAGCUUCCUGAAAUUUAUCAAUGCUCUGAUCGCCAUCAGCUGAUUGAUUGACUCUGCAUCUUCAAUAUGAACCCUAUGAAUCCUCUGCUUUUGACGCUGCUGGUUACAAAUGGUAAAGAUCUUACACUCUUACACUUUUUUCAAAAACUUUUUCAUAAUUUUUGAGUUUAUUUUAAUUGGAAACAAAAAUUAGGAUAUUUAUGCUAUUUGUGAAUGGUAAUCAAAACGACCGAAUCUUUUCCAAGAGGUUGGGAAGUCAAUGUUGAUCUCAAACUCAUUUAUAACCCGAACCAGUCUAUUUAUAUAAAUGUAUUGGCUAAUGUAUUCACUUGAAAAAUACUUCGUUUCUCCACCUUGGAAGAUAAGUUUUGAUACUCUGACGAAUUUCUCGUUGGAGACCGAUACUGGUUGGCACUUCCUCAUCAAAUUAUAUCAAAACCUGUUGCUCAAAAUGUUUCCUAAAGGAGGAAAACAUAUUUCUGUUAAUAACAGUUUUUAGUUAAUCUAUAAUCAGGAGAUUAGGAUUUAACCCGAAAGGGUAUCAAGGAGGAAGACCACGUGCACUUUCAAUCUUUCUUUAUGUUCAAGCCUUCAAGGCUAUAAGGCAAACACAGUUGUUACAAACACUUGGGAGUGGUUAAUUUGCGUUUAAAGAAACAACGAAGCUCCAACCAAAUACUAUAUAGUAAAAAAACCAAGGAACAAUAUAAAGUAAAAUGUUAAUCUCCAAGAGACAAAAUAACUAGUUUGGUUUGUUCCUUUUUUUUAGGCGAAGCUUGGUGUGCGAUUGGAAACGGUACUGGUAUGGAUAGGGAACACUAUCAUAUUGUUAGAAGAUUUAAAAAAUUCAUCAAAAGGAUAUUUGGUGAAUGAUGCCAUUAUCUUUGAAGCUGAACUUGUUAAGGUCUUUGUGACCAACAUUGUUUCUGCUUAGAGAUCUCUAAUUCUUUGUCAGCAAUCAAACAACCUUAUGAAUAAAGUUUGUAAUAAGAAGAAGUUGAUAAAGUUUGUGUUGUAAUCUAUAUUUUGUUGGUUUUGUUUUCUGUUUAUUAUAGAUUACAUAGAUUAUGCUUUAACUAGUUUAACUGUUUAUGCUUUAAGGGCCCAAAAUCUAUUAGUUUCUCUUCAUCUAGGGUGAACAUCUUAGGAAAAAGUGUUGAACUGUGGUAGUAACAUCCUGAGCGUCUUUUGGACCAAGUCUAUUUAACCGAUUUAAAACUAGAAACACAGCUGACAAAAAUAAAAAGUAAAUUUAAGUAGAUUUUGACUUAAAAUUUGUCAUUUAAUGGACACUAAAAAAAACAAAAAUCAUAUAUGUGAAAGUUGACCAACUCUCUUCAUAUGGGUGACACAUCAUCACACAAGAAAAUGACAUGUGUCUUUUAACAUUGAUUAAAUUAAAAAUCAGUAAAAUUAAUUGAGAGAAAAUCAAAGUCUCAUAUUGUGUUAAAUCCUCCAUUAAUUUAUUUCUUAAAUGAUUUUUUUCAAAAUAAAAAAUAAAAUUAUAAAAUUAUUUAUUUAAAUAUAUCAAUUACUACUUUUAUUUUACUUUUAUUAUUUUCUAUUUUGUAAAAAUUUAAUGGUCAAUGGUCAUCACUCUAUAAUGACUAAAUAUUUAUUUGUGUUAUUUUACCUUGAUUUUUUAUUAUUAUUACAUUCUCGUUCAUAUCUUAUCAUAUGAAAUUUUGUCUUUUCAUUUUUGUAUCUUUAGGUAAGUUCGUAACAUUGACAUUCAACAUUUUCAAGUAAUAGACUUUUGAGACGUUAGACAUACUACGAAAUUAAAAACAAAUCAAUUUGUCUUAUAUGGCUAUAUGCAAUAGCAUAAAAUCUAAAAAGUGUUACUAAAAUAACUCUUUAAUUUUUGCUUCCUUUUUUUUUUCAUACGAAAACUCUUGAAAUCAAAAUAUCUUAUAUUCUUGUUGUAUGUUCAUGAUAAUGAACAAAUUUUAUAAUCUUGGAUAUAAAAAUAAUCAGAUUAUACAUGAAAAUAUAUAGAAAUUGAUAUUUAGAGUCAAAAAUGAAUCUAAAAUGUAAGUACAUAAGAUGAGUCUAAUUUUACUAAGUAUAAAAUAACAAACAAAAAAUAAACAUAAAUUAGCGACAAACAUAAUUAACAUAUUUUUAUCUAAACAAUUUUCAAAACAAACCCACGCGUACCGUGAGAAUUCAUCUAGUAUAUAGAUAAAAUUAUAUAGACCAAUCUACUCAAUUGAUACUAUCAAAAUCUCACAAAUAUAUUACUUGAAUAUAUAUUUUUAAUUUUUAUUAAAUUUCAAAUAAUAGACAAAAAAAAACUCAAAGCCAAUCACAUAUAGACACAUGUGAAAGUUAUCUCUCUAAAAAAUUCUUAAAAAUUCAAAACCAAAACCAACUAUCAUCUCUCCCAAUUAUCAUCUUUUUAAUAUAUCAAAAAUAUCUUUGAAAACUUUCCUUUACCCAUGUUUUAAACCUUUCUCAUCUAUAUAUAUACAUUUUUACAAAUAAAUCCUCAAGUUGAAACUUAUUUACAAGAAAUACCAUUUGGCAUUAAUUAUUAUUAAUAAAUUAAUAUUCCUAACUACUAGCAUUUUCUUAUCUGAUAUAUAUCUCCAUCAAUUCUUAAUACGUCAAAAAAAAUCUUAGGACACUAUUAAUAUUAUACUUUAUUAAAAGAUAAAUAAUGUAGUUAUUUAAAGUUUAUUAAAAAAAAUUAGAAUAUUUCACAGAAAAAACGUUAUAGUAUAUUUAUAAUAUGUAAAUCUAUAAAAAUUAAAUAACCAUUGAAAGAAAACUUUUAAAUUAAUUUAAAUUAUAAAUCUUUUAAUAAAAGUAUUAUUAAAACAAAAAUUAAAAAUAAUAUUUAAUUUUAUGAAAUGGGAUUAGAUGGUAGGACGGAUUUAGAAUAUCAUAAUAUAUGAACUUUAUAACAAUUAAAUAACCAUUUGAAAGAAAACUUUUAAAUUGUGUUGAAUUAUAUAUCUUUUAAAUUAAAAUAUUAUUUAAACAAAAAUAACAAAAAUAAUGUUUAAUUUCACUAAACGGAGUUAGAUGAUAUAAGGGGUUUGGGUCGAUAGUAUUAUGAGAUGGUAUACCACAAGUGAAAUACAUUAGAUAUGUUUAAUUUCACUAAACAGGAUUAGAUGGUAGGACAGAUUUGGAUCAAUAGUAAUACGAGACGGUAUACGACGGAUGAAAUCCUAGAUAUAUCAUUAAAAAUAAAAUUAUAUUAUCUAAAUACUAAAACAAACAAACAAUAUUAACAAAACAAAUAUAAUUAGAACUUAAAUAUUUAGUUAUAAUUUAGAUUUUAACUUAUUGUUCCUAUAUUUUUAAACAGUAAAAAUUAAACAUAGUAAUUAUACACUAAAAAAUAUAUAGAUAUAAGAGUUGUACGUUUAGAAAAUACAAAACAUUAAAUCAUAUUUAUUUUUAAUCUACAAAACAAAUUAAUUUUUAUUUUUAAAAAAUAUAAUUAUGCGGUACACCGCGGGUUAAAAUCUAGUAUAUAUUCAAAAGCCUUCAAAUUGAACACGAGCUUUGUUCUUGUAUCUAGGGCUGGAAAAAUAGUCUGACUCGAAGAUCCAAACUAAACCCGGCUCAAAAUAUUCGAUAUUAAUUCGAUUUCGUAUAUUAAAACUAUCUGAAUGGGAUCUAGAAACUUGAAAUUCUGAGUGUCCAAUAUAAUUCUGAUUCGAAUUUACCCAAAAAAAUCCUAACAUGUUCAAUCUUUAGUAUUUUAAAUUGUUUUGAUAGUUUUAUUACCGAUAUUUUUGGUUAAUUAUGAUACUUUUAAACAAAUUUUAAAUAUUUUUACCGGAUUUUUCGAGUAAUCGGAUAAAUAGUUUCAAUUAUUUAGGUAGUUUUAACCAAACUCAAAACAUGAUUAUAAAUCUAAAAUAUUAAAAUCUUUAAAAUAUCUAAAAUAACUAAAAUAUCUGAACUAUUUAGUUAUAUUUUAUCAAUCCACUACUGCGAUAAUAUCUCGUGUACUUCGAGAACUCUCACUAAUCCACAGAAAUAUUGUUUUAUAUAACAGUAGUCAUUAGUCAAUAGCUAGACAUGCAUGGUUUGGUACACGUACUUGGAAAAAGCAUAAAAUAAACAAUUAUAACCAAAUCGAAAUCUGAUAUACAUUCAAUUUUAAACAAAAAAAAAAAUGGAAAUCUGAUACUGUAAAAUUGAAUAUGUGUGUAUUAUUAUUGGUUCCACGACGAGUCUACUUUCAGUAUUUUAUUACCAAAGCAAACCAAAACGGAUCUCAAAAAAUGGAUACUGAAAAAUGGAGUCAAGGUAUUAAGUGAUCCUUUGUCCAAAAAAAAAAAAAAAAAAAAGGUAUUAAGUGAUCCACUUUUGUUCUUAGUGGUUCUGUCCCUGCCUUUUGCUCUUGUAUCUAGAGCUGAAAUAAAAUUCGGACCUGAACAUCCUAACCGAAUUCAGAUUAAUUUUUUUGAUUAGAAUUCUAAUCCGAAUUUUAAAAGUAUUCGAACGGAUUUUAGAACCGGAACUUCGAAUAUCCAAAAAGCCCGGAUUUAAAACAGAUUCCGAAUAUAUACUCGAAAAAAUCUGAAUAUUCCUAAGAUAUUAACUCUUUUUACCUGGUUUUAUGGAUACUAUUGAUUAAUUAAAAUACUUUUAAUAGUAUAACUUUUAACCGGGAUUUUCGAGUAAUUCGAAUUAUUUUACAUAGUUUAAAUAAUUAUACGUAGUUUUAACCGAAUCUUAACUAUAAUUAUAAAUCUAUAUCAAUUAUUUUUUAAUCAAAAUAAUUAAAAUACCAAUCAAUAUAACUAAAACACUUAAAAUAAACAAUUUUAAAAAACAAUUUUUAUUAUAUCUAUCAAAUUAUAUUAAAAAAUUCAAGCAAAUAAUUUUUUUAGAUUAUCCAAACUUCGAAUACAAAAAUCUGAAUAGAACCAGAAUUUGAUCUGAUAUAUUUUGAGUUAUGGUAGAAAUCUUAAUCAGAAAACUAAAAAAUCCUUACAAUACCUAAACGCUCAGACCUAUAAAUUUUGAUUUAUCUACAUUUCGGUGUUGGUGAUAUACUGACACCGAGUCGUUAACAGCAAUAAUAUUUUGUGUACUUUGAGAUCGCUCACAAAUCCACAGAAAUAUUGUUUUAUAAUAGACGUACUUGGAAGAUGCAUAAAAUAGACAAUACAACCAAAUCAAAUUUGAUACUUUACACAUUCAAAGUCAAACAAAAACAGUGAAAUUGAAUGUGUACAUGUAUUAUUAUUGCUUCCACGAGGAGUCCACGUUCGGUAUUUUAUAUUUGUUACUAAACUCGAUCAAUAAGUAAUCAAAAGUGUCUCUGUUUAUAUAAAUGGAAAGCGUUACCAAAACAAAACAAAACCAGAUCUCAAAAAAUGGACACUCAAAAAUGGAGUAUAGGUUUCAUAUCUCUCGCUUUUCUCUUCAUCACUUCCUCUUCCGCUGAGCUCCUCAUUAAACAGGUUUCUUUUUAAGCACUUUUUCUAUCGAUAUGUUUUUAUUUUUACUACAAAACUAGUUUGUAAAAAUGAAUAAAACUAAUAGUUUUGCUAAUAUUAGGCCACAGAAGGCAGAGGAAUAGAAUACAACAGUUCUCACAGUUCACGAAUGGUACGUACACUUAUUUUCUUUCUUUAGAUUUUAUUGGUUAAAACUUAAAACUGUGAUAACCAUUUUCUUGAACUCUUUUUAUUGAUAGGAGUGACAAGAGUGUGGAGGGAUGACCGACCAUCGGAUAAGAUUCUUUCGAUAACCAGCUUCUCAAUAAUUAGGACGAGACCUGAACCCUAUGAAUCCUCUGUUUUUGAGGCUGUUGGUUACAAAUGGUAAAGAUCUUAGUAUAUCUUACACUCUAUCCCAUUUUUUUUUUGUUAAUUAUAUCUUUUGAGCUAAUUAUGAUGCAAAUAAAUAAAUCAGGAGAUUGGUUUUGUACGUGAAUGGUAAUGAAAAGGACGGUGGAAAAGAUCAUGUUUCACUUUACGCGAAGAUCGUAGAGACAGAAUCUCUUCCAGUAGGAUGGGAAGUGAAUGUUGAUCUCAAACUCUUUGUCUACAAUGGAAAGCUAAACAAAUAUUUGAUUGUUACAGGUACUUUAAACUGUGAAUGGAUUUUUAUUAGAUCCAUAUAUAUAUUCUAGCGGAAAACGGUCUAUUUCUCCACGAUAAGUAUGACAUCAUAACAGAUAGAGCCCAGGCUUUAACCUCGUGCUAGAUAUGAUGUCAUAUUCUAGCUCUAUAUGUUAUGAUGUCAUAUUCUAGCCAUUGCUAUUUUAAGAAAGUAGACUUCAAAUACUAGUCUCAUUAGUAAAUGAACCGAUAGUUGAUUGUGAUUUGCCUUUUUUUUUUUUGCAUAAUUGUGGAUUGUAGAUGGUACAGUGAAACGAUACAACAAUGCGACAAAAGAGUUGGGUUACGGACAACUUAUUCCUCAAUCAACAUUCUACGACGGGAACGAUGGGUACCGUGAGCAGGACACUGGUACAUUUGGUGCUGAGAUCUACAUCGUUAAACCAGCCCAACAAAAAGAGAAAGUCACAUUCAUAUCAAACCCUCCAGACAAUGUUUUCACUUGGAAGAUACUUCAUUUCUCUACCUUGGAAGAUAAAGUCUAUCAGUCUAACGAGUUUCUUGUUGGAGACCGAUACUGGUUAGUCAUUUUCGUAACCGGAUAUUUUAGACCAAAGUCCAAAUUAAUCUUAAAAGCUUGUUACUGUUAUGUGACUUUCACAGUAUUAUUGUAUAAUCAGGAAAUUAGGAUUAAACCCGAAAGGAGGCUUAGUCCCAAUCUUCCUAUAUGCUCAAGGCUUUAAGGCAAACGCAGUUGUUACAACCACUUAUGCAGCGACUAAUCUGCGGUUAAAGAAUCAACGAAGCAGCAACCACGUAACAACAUAUAGUAAGAAAACUAACCUAAGAAUAAAAGUUUAUCUCCAGGAGAAAAAAACAACAAUGAAUGAAACUAGGAAUAGCUAAAGUAAAUUUGUUUAUGCUGCUCUGUUUUUUCUUUGCAGCUGCAUAUUGGUACCUGAUUCCAAGCGGAUUAGGUUUGGGAGUGAACACUAUACCGUUAUCAGAUGUAAAAGAUGCAUCGAAAGGAUAUGUGGUGAAUGAUUCCAUUAUCAUUGAAGUUGAAAUGCUUACGGUCUCGGUGACGAACAUUGUAUCCGCUUAAAGAUCUCUACUUCUUUACCAUAGUUCAAACAACCUUAUGAAGAAAGAGAUGUUUGUAAUAAGACAACGUUAAUGUUUGUGAUGUAGUCGUUACUUCGGUUUUUCCGAGUUUUCUCUUUUCUGUUUUGUUAUCAAUGAAAAUAAAACUCUCCGGGUUUUAAAUUUUAUAAAAAAUGUUGAGGACGUGAAGUGUUAAAAAUCGACUUAUCUGGAGUCAGAAAUAAACUUAUAAUUUACUUUACAUAAUUUGUUUUGUAGCCAAAUUCAAACAUAACCCAAAAGAAAAAAGUAUUGAAUGUUUUUUUUUGUAGCCACAUUCUAUUUAUGCGACCGUUGCCCGUUGGAGUAAGGGUCAUGCCCUGAUCUACAAUUUUCAAUGUACAACGUUUUGAACGCUUUAAUUUGACCACUAUAAUUCAUUACUCUCAUUAAGUUAACCAUAUUUAUCUCGAAAGUUCAUCAACCAAUAUAUGUUUCAUUCCACUUCUAACAUUUCUUAUUUCUACCACUUUUACCACCUCUAUUUUAAGCAUUUCGCAUUAGUACCGGUUGAUAUUAUAUAUGUAUCAAGUUUAACAAGAUUCUAACUCAAAAAUAAGUGGCAACAAACAAGUGAGGAAAUGCAUAUUUACUAUAUAUUUGUGUUGAAUUACCUUUACUUUUAAGAUUGGUUAUAUACCCAUUUGUGUUUAUUAGAUUUUAAAAUCAAUUACCAAAUAAGUUAUUAUGAGUUCAUUUGAAAAGUUAUGAGCUGCCAACUCAAGACUAUGUGAAUGGAUUGUCAUAUAAGUAUGUUAUGGGCUUGAUUGGUAUAACUAAUUAAUUAUAGUAGAGUUGUAGCAAUUACGAGCAAAGCAAGUAAGUUGAUGAAGUUGUAAUCUGUUAUAUAUUAGGUUGAUGAUAUAUAUAUAAAUAAGUUGUUGCUGAAAUUGACCAAGUUUUGAUCAGGUGGUCAUGAACGAUGGUGAAUGAAGAUGAAUGAUGGUCAAUGAGAGAUAAUUGAGUGAUGAUAGCUCAAACCUCUGGAUAUUGGAAUGCAAGGUUUAUCCGUCUACGUACGUGGAUAUGAACAUUGAUUUUGACUACUCGGUCAUGAUCCACAGUUAUCGAUUGGUAGAUUCGGCCUUCCGCGAUGAUCGGUAUGUCUAUGGUCAUUAAUUAGAGGUAAGGGUGGUGUGAUGUGAGUCCUUACUUCAUAGCUUCAUAUGAUUGGAUUGUUAAGCUUAACAAUCCAAUCAUAUUUAAUAUUUUGAACAUUAUGCUACCCACAUCGAAUCUGAUACUUGACACAUUCCAAGUCAAAUACAAAAAUAAUAAUAAGUGAAUGUGCAUAUAUAUAUAUUCUACCAUGAAUCCACUUUCAGUAUUAUAUAGUAGUAACUUAACUUGUUCAAUAAGUAACUUUGUCUAUAUAUAUGUAAAAGUCUUACCAAUGUCUAGCUCAUCUAAGAAAAUGGAUGAUCAGAAAUGGAGUCUGGUUUUCAUAUGUCUUGCUUUACUCUUCACCACUUCCUCUUCAGCUGAGUUUCUCAUUCAACAGGUACAGUUUUGUUUGUUUUUUUCCCUUUUUCGAAACACUUUUUUGAUUGAUUGGCUUAUUACUAAAAGUAGCUUUUUACAAAAUCCAGGUCACAGGGGGCAGAGGAGCAGAGUACAACAGUUCUUACAGUCUCAAGGAGAAUUUUGGUACACUUGUUGUUAUGAAAUCUUCUUUCUUUAGAUUUCUUGGUUUACAAAAAAAAAAAAAAAAAAAAAAAACUGAAACCCACUUCUUGGAACUUUUUGUGUUGACAGGAGGGACAAGAGUGUUGAGAGAUGAGCGACCAUCGAGUAAGAUUCUGACAAUAACAAACUUCUCUGUGAUUAAGGGCAGAGUAGAACCCUAUGAAUCCUCUGUUUUUGAGGCUGCUGGUUACAAAUGGUAAAGAUCUUACACUCUUUCCACUUUUUAUUCAAUUUUUUAUAUAUUUUUCUUGAGUUUUUUUUUUUUUUGAUGAAAAAUAAAUAAAUCAGGAGAUUGGUUUUGUACGUGAAUGGUAAUCCAAACGACAGUGGAAAUGAUCAUAUUUCACUUUACGUGAGGAUCGAAGAGACAGAAUAUCUUCCAAGAGGGUGGGAAGUGAAUGUUGAUCUCAAACUCUUUAUCCACAAUGGGAAGCUAAACAAAUAUUUGGCUAUUUCAGGUACUUAAAAUGGAUUUUUACUAGAGCCAUUUUAUUUUUGCCAAGACUAAUUUUUGCAAUUUCUGUAAAUAUUAGGAUCUCAUAUCGAAAGUUGAUUGUGAUUAGGAGUUUUUUUUUUUUUUGCAUAAUUGUGGAUUGUAGAUGGAACAUUGAAGUUAUACAACGAUGCGAAAAGAGAGUGGGGAUUCGGACAACUUAUUCCUCACGUAACAUUCUACAACACGUAUGGGUACAUUGAGCAGGACAUUGGUUCUUUUGGUGCUGAGAUCUUCAUCGUUAAACCGGCUCAACAACAAGAGAAAGUCACAUUCAUAUCAAACCCUCCAACCAAUGUUUUCACUUGGAAGAUACUUCAUUUCUCUAUCUUGGAAGACAAGUUCUAUUACUCUGACGAUUUUCUCGUUGAAGACCGAUACUGGUUAGUAAUUUUGGUAACCGGAUCUCUUUGACCGAAGUCCAAAUUAAUCUCAAAGUUUGCAACUGCUAUGUGAAUUCCACGGUGACCAAGUAUAAUAACGGUUUUUGGUUGAUGAUAAUCAGGAGACUAGGAUUUAACCCUAAAGGAGAUGGAGGAGGAAGACCAUAUGCACUUCCAAUCUUUCUAUUUGCUCAAGGCCAUAAGGCAAACGCAGUUGCUACAAACACUUGGGGAGCGGCUAAUCUGCGGCUAAAGAAUCAACGAAGCACCAACCACAGACAAAUAUAUAGUAAGAUAACUAACAAAAAAAAAAAUUUAUCUCGAGGGGAGAAAAUCAUCAAUAAAUGAAAGUAGCAGCUGAUGUAAAUUGGUUUAUGUUUGUUUUUUUCUUUGCAGCUGCAGCUUGGUACCCGAUUGGAAGCGGUUAUGGUGUGGGAGUGAACAAUAUCAUAUUGUUAGCAGAUUUAAACGAUGCAUCGCAAGGAUAUUUGGUGAAUAAUGCCAUUAUCUUUGAAGCUGCAAUGGUUAAGGUUUCAGUGACCAACAUCGUCUCUUCUUAAAUAUCUUCACUUCUUUGUCAACGAUCAAACAACCUUAUGAAUAAAAAGAUGUUUAAUUUGAUGAGUUUGUAAUAAGACAAUGUUAAUGUUUGUGAUGUUGUCGUUUCUCUUUUCUGUUUUGUUAUCAAUGAAAAUGAAACUCUCCAGGUA